GACGAACGCUGGCGGCGUGCUUAACACAUGCAAGUCGAACGGAAAGGCCCAGCUUGCUGGGUACUCGCGUGGCGAACGGGUGAGUAACACGCGGGUGAUCUGCCCUGCACUCUGGGAUAAGCCUGGGAAACUGGGUCUAAUACCGGAUAUGACCGACUGUCGCAUGGUGGUUGGUGGAAAGCUUUUGCGGUGUGGGAUGGGCCCGCGGCCUAUCAGCUUGUUGGUGGGGUAUUGGCCUACCAAGGCGACGACGGGUAGCCGACCUGAGAGGGUGAUCGGCCACACUGGGACUGAGACACGGCCCAGACUCCUACGGGAGGCAGCAGUGGGGAAUAUUGCACAAUGGGCGCAAGCCUGAUGCAGCGACGCCGCGUGAGGGAUGACGGCCUUCGGGUUGUAAACCUCUUUCACCAGGGACGAAGCGUGAGUGACGGUACCUGGAGAAGAAGCACCGGCCAACUACGUG
rnacentral:rRNA from 1 species